GAAUUUUGGACAAUGGGCGAAAGCCUGAUCCAGCAAUGCCGCGUGCAGGAUGAAGGCCUUCGGGUUGUAAACUGCUUUUGUAAGGAAAGAAAAGAUUUGGGUUAAUACCCUGGAGUCAUGACGGUACAGGAAGAAUCAGCACCGGCUAACUAAGUGCCAGCAGCAGCGGGAAUGCGUAGGGUGCAAGCGUUAAUCGGAAUUACUGGGCGUAAAGCGUGCGCAGGCGGUUUUGUAAGACAGAGGUGAAAUCCCCGGGCUCAACCUGGGAACUGCCUUUGUGACUGCAAGGCUAGAGUACGGCAGAGGGGGGUGGAAUUCCGCGUGUAGCAGUGAAAUGCGUAGAUAUGCGGAGGAACACCGAUGGCGAAGGCAACCCCCUAGGCCUGUACUGACGCUCAUGCACGAAAGCGUGGGGAGCAAACA
rnacentral:rRNA from 1 species